rnacentral:rRNA from 1 species
UGGGGAAUUUUGGACAAUGGGCGCAAGCCUGAUCCAGCCAUGCCGCGUGCGGGAAGAAGGCCUUCGGGUUGUAAACCGCUUUUGUCAGGGAAGGAAUCUUCUGAGUUAAUACCUCGGGAGGAUGACGGUACCUGAAGAAUAAGCACCGGCUAACUACGUGCCAGCAGCCGCGGUAAUACGUAGGGUGCAAGCGUUAAUCGGAAUUACUGGGCGUAAAGCGUGCGCAGGCGGUUUUGUAAGGCAGAGGCGAAAUCCCCGGGCUCAACCUGGGAACUGCCUUUGUGACUGCAAGGCUUGAGUGCGGCAGAGGGGGAUGGAAUUCCGCGUGUAGCAGUGAAAUGCGUAGAUAUGCGGAGGAACACCGAUGGCGAAGGCAAUCCCCUGGGCCUGCACUGACGCUCAUGCACGAAAGCGUGGGGAGCAAACAGGAUUAGAUACCCUGGUAGUCCACGCCCUAAACGAUGUCAACUGGUUGUUGGGAAGGUUCCUUCUCAGUAACGUAGCUAACGCGUGAAGUUGACCGCCUGGGGAGUACGGCCGCAAGGUUGAAAACUCAAAUGAAUUGACGGGGUCAUAGCUGUUUCCUG